AGCAAAAAAGAUGCUCAAAGCCUUUGAUCUAGGAUAUGAGAAAAUCCAUGCUUGUGUGAAUGAUUGCUGUUUGUUUAGAAAAGAUUUAAAGCUUAAGGAGACGUAUCCGAAAUGCAAUUAUUCACGUUGGAAAGUAGAUAAACGCACUAAGAAGAUUAAAAAGGGAGUUCCUGCGAAGGUGUUGCGAUAUUUUCCAAUAAUACCAAGAUUUAAAAGGAUGUUGAAGUCACAAGAGAGGGCAAAGCAAUUAACGUGGCACUCCUCUCAUAAAAGCCAAGAUGGCAAGAUGAGACAUCCAGUUGACUCAUUGGCAUGGGAAUCAAUCAAUCAAAAGUGGCCUUCUUUUGCAUCAGAUCCACGAAAUCUUAGACUUGGUCUUUCAACAGAUGGAUUUAAUCCUUUUACCAAUCUUAGCUCAAAGUAUAGUUGUUGGCCAGUGAUGUUAGUUACAUAUAACCUUCCCCCAUGGUUAUGCAUGGCAAAGGAAAAUAUCAUGUUGAGAUUACUAAUUCCAGGGCCAAAGCAACCAGGCAACAACAUAGAUGUUUAUCUAGAGCCACUUGUGAAAGACCUAAUAGAAUUAUGGACUAAUGGUGUCAGGACUUAUGAUGCAGCCAAUAACUCCAUGUUUAAUUUGAAGGCUAUUUUGAUGUGGACAAUAAAUGAUUUUCCAGCUUAUGGAAACUUAGUUGGAUGCACCAUAAAGGAAAAAGUUGCUUGUCCAAUAUGUAGUGCUUACACAUGUUCACAAUGGUUGAGUAAUAGUAAAAAGACUGUGUACAUGGGCCACAGGCGAUUUCUUGCACCUGACCAUCCAUUUCGGAUGAAAAGAAGUUGGUUUGAUGGAAAGCAAGAACUUCAAGGGAAGCCUAAACCAUUAAAUGGUUCUGAUGUUUUCAGUGUAGUUAAAGACAUUGAAAAUAAUUUGGGAAAAGCAACAAAGGAGAGAAAAAGGAAAAAGUCCCAGACCAUCAAAGAAAAAGAGCCAGUUUGUGUUCAACCACGGAAGAAAAAGUCCAUAUUUUUCAAUUUACCAUAUUGGGAUGUAAGUCUAAAGAAAGUAGAAUUCCUAUUUUCAAAAUUAGUUGAAUUUGUUAUUCUUAUUUUUUAUAGAAUGAAUAUUUGAUUGAUGUUACAGGCGUUACUUUUGCGUCAUAACUUGGAUGUAAUGCACAUUGAGAAUAAUGUUUGCGAAAGUAUCAUUGGCACACUAUUGAAUGUGAAGGGGAAAUCAAAGGAUGGCCUUAAAGCUCAUAAAGAUUUGGAAGAAAUGGGCAUUAGACAAAAAUUGCAUGCGGAGAACAGAGGAACUCAUUUUUAUUUGCCAACGGCAUUACAUACACUUUCAAAAGUCGAGAAGCAGAUCUUUUGUUCUAGGUUACAUGAUUUAAAGUUGCCUGAUGGUUAUAGCUCCAAUAUUGCUAAUUGUGUUUCAUUAGAAGAGUGCAAGCUGAUAGGCCUCAAGUCACAUGAUUGUCACGUCUUGAUGCAACAGUUGUUGUCAAUAGCGUUGAGAGGACUUUUACCAGAGGGACCAAGGAAUGCAAUAUUUCGAUUGUGCACUUUUUUCAAUCAAAUAUGUCAAAGAGUGAUUGAUAGGAAUAAAUUAGAACUACUCGAAGAAGAUGUUGCUGAGACUUUAUGUAUGUUGGAAAGGUUCUUCCCUCCAUCAUUUUUUGAUAUUAUGGUUCACUCGACAAUCCAUCUAGGAUGAGAAGCUCACAUAUGUGGACCAGUGCAAUUUCGUUGGAUGUACUCAUUUGAAAGAUAUAUGAAGAUACUUAAGGGAUAUGUUAGGAAUCGUGCAAGACCUAAGGGAUGCAUAGCGGAAUGCUAUAUAGCUGAAGAGUGCAUGCAAUUUUGUAGUGGGUACAUGAAGCAAGCAACUGAAAUAGGUGCUCGACAUAACCGCAAUGAAGAAUUUGAAAAUGAAACAAUACUAGAAGGACGCCCGAUUACGUUGGGGAAUUCAAUCAUGAUACCUGAUGAUGUGUUACAAAUUGCUCAUUGUUGUGUGUUGAUAAACAGUUCUGAAGUCCAACCAUAUUUAGAAAUGCAUGCAGAGGAGCUUAAGCUUUUGGAUAGACGUUUCUUGAGGGAUGCUGCUCUACUACAUUCUAGACAAAUGGACACCUUUUCUCAGUGGUUGAAAGCAAAGAUUGAAUCAUGUAGUAAUGAGGUUUCAGAUAGAUUGAAAUGGCUUGCAGCUGGCCCAAGAAAACAUGCAACGUCUUAUUUGGGCUAUGUCAUUAAUGGGCAUCGCUUUCAUACAAGUGAUGUCCAAAGGUCCACACAAAAUAGCAGUGUUUCCAUUGAAGCAGAAACUAUUUGUCGAUCUAGUAAAAAAGACAUUGCACAAGGUAUUGAAAAAAUCUGUUUCUAUGGGGUUAUCAGAGACAUAAUUUUGUUGGAUUACUACAAAUUUCAAGUUCCUCUAUUUAAAUGUGACUGGGCAACUACUGGAAACGGUGUCAAAGUUGAAAAUGGAUUUACAUUGGUCAACAUCCAACAAGGAUGAAAUCCAUUUGAGAGAGAUCUGUUCAUUCUAGCAUCACGUGCAAAACAAGUGUUCUAUUUGAGGGAUAAUGAUACAUCUAGUUGGGAAGUUGUACUUAAAGCACCUUCAAGAGGCUUUCGUGAUUUGGAUAUGUAUGAUGAAGAUGCCUAUAUGCCAUCUGCACCUUUAGAUGCAUCUAGACUUGGUGCAAAUACUAAUGAUGAAGAUGAGCACUACGUGAGGAUGGAUUGUGAGGGUGUGGAAGUGUUGCAUGAUUAAUGAGAAGUAGGAACAUUUGAUUUUCAUACAACUGAAUGCUUAUUGGGCUUGACUAGUUCUCCUUUACUUGUCGUUCUUUUUAUUUUUUCCUUUCUAUAUAAUUUCACUAGCUAUUUUCUUUGAAGUUAAUAUGAGUGAAUAUACUUGUAAGGUGAAUAUUGUGCUGUCUUUGAAAUCAAUAUUAUCAAGAAUUUAUUGUUUA